rnacentral:tRNA from 1 species
GGCUUAGCUCCAAUGGUAGAGCAGUCGCCUUGUAAGCGAAUGGGUAGCGGUUCAAGUCCGUUACCGCCGUCA